rnacentral:rRNA from 1 species
AUUGAACGCUGGCGGCAUGCCUUACACAUGCAAGUCGAACGGCAGCACGGAGCUUGCUCUGGUGGCGAGUGGCGAACGGGUGAGUAAUAUAUCGGAACGUACCCAAGAGUGGGGGAUCACGUAGCGAAAGUUACGCUAAUACCGCAUACGAUCUAAGGAUGAAAGCAGGGGACCGCAAGGCCUUGUGCUCCUGGAGCGGCCGAUAUCUGAUUAGCUAGUUGGUGAGGUAAAGGCUCACCAAGGCAUCGAUCAGUAGCUGGUAUGAGAGGACGACCAGCCACACUGGAACUGAGACACGGUCCAGACUCCUACGGGAGGCAGCAGUGGGGAAUUUUGGACAAUGGGGGCAACCCUGAUCCAGCAAUGCCGCGUGAGUGAAGAAGGCCUUCGGGUUGUAAAGCUCUUUUGUCAGGGAAGAAACGGUCGUGGCUAAUAUCCAUGGCUAAUGACGGUACCUGAAGAAUAAGCACCGGCUAACUACGUGCCAGCAGCCGCCGUAACAC